UUCUGCACCAAAUUCGUAUGUGAAACGUAGAAACUGAAUGAUUGGAAAAAGAAAAUUUGAGAAAUUACGGACUGAUCGAAGAGCACGAGUGUACCGCUUGCUGGAUACCGCGCGAAUGAGGUGAGUAUUCUAUUAACUGUGAUCUGAUUGGUUGUUUGUCUUACGUUCGCCUUACGUGUUGAUCACGUGAUAUUCAAUAUGUUUAUCAUGAAAUGUAUAAUAACAUACAAAUAAUGUAUUACUUUAUGAAUAUCGAUUUCUUUAAUGUUAUUUUAAUAUUAUUUUUUUAAUCUAUGUCACUUUUAAUUUUUUCUUAUAUUUAUUAUACACUCAGUACUACAUACAUGAUAUACUACAUAUAUCAAGAUAAAUAACCUGACUGUUGACCAUUUGUGUCUUUCUCUAUUCGUUAUAUGCAUAAAUAACCUUGAUUGUAAAAAAUUUAGAUACUUUAAAUUACUGGAAUUAAAAUAUACAUAUGUAACAAAUCAAUCUCAUAUUGUUGACAUCCUAUAUCGAAGAAAAUCUUAUACGCAUCAAAGUUCAAUAAUUUGUUCUUUAAAUAAAUUAAUGCUUCAUGGAUGGAAUUACAAGUCCAAUUAAAGUAGAUCCGGAAUUUAAUUGGAUUUUUCGAACCUGUUCAAAUGCCCUCAACGUAUAUAUAACGAUGUAUCAAAUCAUCAUUUAUGACAAUGCAUUAGAUAUGCAAGUGGAUCAUUUACAAGCCUUAUCGUAUCCCGUUUUAUUAGCUUUACUGGAUUUUUUGAUUUAUAUGGUAGUACAGUAAAGGAUCAUUUCUUGCAAAAUUAUUUUAAUGGCUUAAAAAACGGAUACAUGGUUUUCAUAAACUUAUUCUUUAUUAAGUCUACUUGCAAUCAUCUACCAUUAAAUCUAUUUGCAAUCACAAAAUUAGAAUUCUAUAUUCUAAUUUUAAUAACGACCAUCGUAAGGCAAGUAUCUAUUCCCAAAUCUAUUAUUUUUGUAAUUAAUAUUGUAAUAACGAUUGCGAUAGCCAUUAUCGUAAUACACAUCAUCUGGAUAAUAGGUUCUUCGAUUACGAUAAUUUGGAAUGUAACUGCAGUAAAAGAAAAAUGAAAAUAUUUGAACGAGUCGAAAUAACAUCGAACGUGCAUAAAAACCAAGAAUUAAAAUUACCGAUGAUUUCUUAAGUAUUCGAUAAGAUAUGGAUCCUCGGAGUAGUGCCUAGGCUUUGCAUCAACGUGAUAAUUCUGAUAAGAAUGUGAAGACACAUAUCCAUCAUCGUACACGUAUGGAUAAUAGUGAUAACCGUAAUCUCGAAAAUGAUCACGAUUUCUAUCAUAAUGUCUUCCUACGUCAUCGUGCAGAUAUUUCCGUCCAUCGUCGUAUUGCUGAUUAUUUUGAAAUUGAUCAUAACGUGCACGGGAAUCAACAUAUCUAUAAGAAAAAGUAUAUCCCUCUAUAAUAAUUGUUCCGAUAUUAACAUUUCAAUAAUUUAAAAGGGAAAAAAGAAAAAAAAAUAAAACAAAAAAAAAGCAGCAUACCUCUGACCAUUAUCAUAA